rnacentral:rRNA from 1 species
UACGUAGGGUCCGAGCGUUGUCCGGAGUUACUGGGCGUAAAGCGUGCGCAGGCGGUUGUGCAAGACAGGUGUGAAAUCCCCGGGCUUAACCUGGGAACUGCACUUGUGACUGCACGGCUGGAGUACGGCAGAGGGGGAUGGAAUUCCGCGUGUAGCAGUGAAAUGCGUAGAUAUGCGGAGGAACACCGAUGGCGAAGGCAGUCCCCUGGGCCUGUACUGACGCUCAUGCACGAAAGCGUGGGGAGCAAACAGG